AUCGUGCAUCCCUUUAGAGUGU
rnacentral:miRNA from 5 species